GACCACCACACUUGGGCCACCUGUAAGGUUACGAUAGUUUGAAUGGGAAAUGUCCCACGUAGGCUUAGACAUUUGAGUACUUGGUUCUGAGUUUGGGUGCUGAUUGCGGUGGUGUGGCCUUGACGGAGGAAGUACGUCACUGGAGGAAGAGCUUUGGGAGUCCGUAGCUUCACCCCGCUUCCGGUUUGCUCUCGGCUCCGUCCUUGCUGCCAUGCCCACCUGCCACUGUCCCUCUAGAAGUGUAAGCCACUCUCUUAUUCUGGACAUGGUGCUUUAUCUUAACAAUAGAAAAGUAACUGAUAUAAAAACACAGACUAGAGUGGCGGAGAGUGCCUUAAUCCCAGCACUCAGGAGGCAGAAGCAUGUGGAUCUCUGUGAGUUCAAGGCCAGCCUGGUCUACAUCCUAAGAUAUCUCUGAGGGGUUUUGUUGUCAUUUCUCUAUACUAAAGAGUUUGUUUGGGACCAUACGCACACCACACCAGAGCCCGAUCCCUGAGUCCUGGCCUUCUCUCCUUUGUAUUUUGGGACUAAAUUUCCCAGGCUGACCUUGAACUCUCUCUGUCGGCCACACGGGCCUUGAACUUAUAGUCCUUUGCCAUAGCCUCCCAAGGUGCUGGGAGUUACAGGCCUGUGUCACCAAAACGGUUCCAAGAGUUUUUCUUAGCCACUGGUGCACAGAAUUCUGGAGGGCUUUGCAGGAUCCAAACACACAGUAUCCACCAUCAGAACACUUCCACAGUCAAACAACACUCUAUGCCGGGCCUGCCGAAUCAGAAAACAGCAUUUGCCAGAGCUUCCCAGCCCCAGAGGGGAAGUGCAUGAGUGGUUCAUGGCGACUCAGCAGGGUAGUAUUUAGUGAGGGCACUGCGCAGGGACUGGAGUCACAGAAGCCCCCAAGGCGCCAGGGGGACACUGGUAAUUUUGCUUCUAAGCAUUCCCUGCCUCUUCUCUAGAUCAGCACUACCAGGAGUGAUGGCCCUCAGUGGUUAGUGGAGCCACUAACUAUUAAGAGAACCAAUUUAAACAGCUGGAAACAAUAAGCAUAGGAGGAGAAGAAGACACGCGGAGGACUGAUAUUGCUCCACAGGGGCCGGUGGCAGCCUGUGCAUACAGAAGUAGUUCACGCUCCCCAAGAUGAUGGAAGAGGUGCUGAACACCUCAAGGAGCUCCCUGUGCACUCUGCCACAGACAGCCUGUAGCUCCCCUGCCUCACACCCACAAGGCGCCAAAGGCAUUGUCUCUGCACGGCCAGGGGUUUUUGCAGAGCCUCUGGGCAUCCUGGGAAUGACACUAAGAACAGCAUCCAGAGAGACACCCACCUACCAGGCAAGGGGUGGGGCUCUACAGUGAAAGAUGGACCUAAGGAAUCAAUGGAGAUACACAGGCCAGCUACCAGCACAGAGAGCAGCAGGCGCUAGGUGGGAAUGUGGCUUUGUGCCUCAGCACUUGCAGAGGGAAGGACUCUAUCCCUGCCAUGGCACUGUUUCUCAAAGUCAGAUGCUAGAAGCUGACUGCCCAUGUAGCAAUGCUGAGUCCGGGCCUAAUAAGAAGUGAUUGGGUCAUGAGGACCAGGUCUUCAUGAAUGGAGAAUGUGGUGGUUUGAAUAUGCUUGGCCCAUGGGAAGGGGAGCCAUUAAGAGGGGGUGGUCUUGUUACAGGAAGUGUGUCAUUGUGUAGGCGGGCUUCAAGGUCCUAUGUUCAAGCUCUGCCUAGUGUGGAAAGGAGAGCCUCCUCCUGGCUGUCUGCCAAUUAAGAGGCUGUUCCUCCAGUACCAUGUCUGCCUAAACGAUGCCGUGUUUCCUGCCAUGAUGAUAAUAGACUGAACUUUUGAAACUGUAAGCCAG
rnacentral:lncRNA from 1 species